UAGUCCACGCCGUAAACGAUGGACACUAGUUGUUGGAAUUAUUUCAGUGACUAAGCGAAAGUGAUAAGUGUCCCACCUGGGGAGUACGGUCGCAAGAUUGAAACUCAAAGGAAUUGACGGGGGCCCGCACAAGCGGUGGAGCAUGUGGUUUAAUUCGAUGAUACGCGAGGAACCUUACCAGGGCUUAAAUGUAGAUUGCAUUAGCUAGAGACAGCUAUUUCUUCGGACUAUCUACAAGGUGCUGCAUGGUUGUCGCCAGCUCGUGCCGUGAGGUGUCAGGUUAAGUCCUAUAACGAGCGCAACCCCUAUCGUUAGUUGCUAGCAGGUAAAGCUGAGGACUCUAGCGAGACUGCCGGUGCAAACCGCGAGGAAGGUGGGGAUGACGUCAAAUCAUCACGGCCCUUACGUCCUGGGCUACACACGUGCUACAAUGGUAUAUACAGAGAGCAGCCAACUGGCGACAGUGAGCGAAUCUAUAAAGUAUAUCAC
rnacentral:rRNA from 1 species